AAUUCAAUGGUUAUGUUAGUAUUCAGCCAACAUAAUACUUUUCUAGACAGCGUGACCUUCCCAGGCAAAAGAGAAAGAACAAGAAAGGCAGAGGAAAAGAAAUAUGAUUAAGAUACGGCGCUCGCAUGUUGCACUAUCAUUAAAGAGAUUAAGAAGAAAAGUUGCUUUAAUAAAAAGUUGUUUUGCUUUCACGUAUCUAGACUGAAGACGUACCAAAACCCAUUUCAGUCCCAGAGAAAUAAAA
rnacentral:lncRNA from 1 species